GUAUGAUUGAAAGGGACUUGUUAUGAAAAACAAAGAUGCUCCCAUUAUCUCCACCACUUAGGAAAUCCAGUGGUUUUAAAAGCUCUGUGUCAGGAACUAGGACAAAGACCAGAUAUAUAUUUCUUACUGUCAUAAACAAACAGCUACCACUGUAUGUAUUAUGAGAAGAGGGGCUUUAGAAUACGAAUUGGGGUUUACAUCUUUGUGAGUGGAGCUGGAGGGAGGACUGGAAGUCAGAAGGACUUCAGUCAGGAAAUCAGAAAAAAAUUCAAGAAUGACUUGGGCCUGCACAUUGGGUGGGUAGACAGGUGCUUGCAGCAAAGUCCAAGAAGCCACGAUGACUUUGAGUUACCCAGAAUGACCACAAAGUGGAGGAGCAUGGAGAAGUCUGGGAAGCCACCACUAGUGGAUGUUUUUUACUUCCAAUAAUAUGGUUUUGCUUCACAUGCUCCUUCUAAACCUCAGUUUCUUCCUUUGGCAAAGUUUAAUCUAGAAAAUAUUAGGGAUUGUAUUGUGUCCCCUGAAAUUCGUAUGUUGAAACUCUACCCACUGAUACUUCAGAAUGUGAGUGUAUUUGGAGAUAAGGCCUUUAAUGAGGCAACUAAGGUUUAGUGAGGUCAUAUGAGCAGGUCCUAAUCCAAUAGACUGGUGUCCCUAAAGAAAAGAAAGAGACACCAAAGGUGUGAGAGCCUAGAGAAGAGACUAUGCAGGAUACAGUAGGAAGGUAGCCAUCUACAAGCCAAGGAGAGGGGCCCUGGAGAAACCCAACCUGCUGGCACUGUAAUUGUGAGUUUUCAGCCUCCGGAACUGUGAAAAAAUAAAUUUUUGUUGUUUAAACCACUGAGUUUGUGGUAUUUUGUUAUGUCAGCCCUAACAAAUUAAUACAGAAUAGAUGUUUGGAAAUGUAGUUUCCAGCUUUAGAAGUGAGUGUGGUCAUGGUGCUGAGUUGACAGCAAUAAUACAACAGAUUUUUAGCAUCCUCCAAAGCUGACCAAUGAGGGAGUCUGUGUGUGUGUGUGUGAGUGUGUGUGUAUGUGUCUGUGGGGUAGUGUUUGUAAUAAUACAUUUAUGAAUUUAACAAAAAUUUUGUAUUUCAAUAUUAAUGCUUGAGUUGUAACACAUUUGUUUGGUGGGGGCCUCUUUAAAUUGACUCUUUGGUUCUUUUGAGAUGAUCUAAGUGGUCUCUAAGAGCUUCCUUGCUUUUUAGAAUAAGACAGUCCAGGAUUAUGUUGUACAUUUACUGUUCCAGAGCUGGAAUCAAUUAUUUCUCAAAGGAGCCUUGAUUUCCUUUAGUGUGAAAUGGUAAUGAGGAAACACAGGCUGGGUAAUAGGGGUGCUUGUUACUAUUAUGUUGGUAAUUAUUUCUAUGCCUUUUUGGUGGACAUAGAUAGAAAAUAACAGAUUAUGAGUUCAUGCCAAUAUUUUUGACUUAUGUUUAGGACUACAGAGUCUUCACAUACUUUAUUGGCUUUAAAUCUGUAUCUCCUUUCUCCAACGCCGAAAAAUUGCUAGUUCUUAAUGUAGUAGAUUCUAUUAAAGCUGUGGGUGACCUGCCCAGACUCUACUUACUUGGCUGGUGCACACAUCCCUUGGAGUGGUGAGUAUUAGCAACAAAUAGCUCACAGAUACACCCUUCUCUGAGAAAGUAUCUUGGUUGUGAGUCAUGCCCCUUGAGAGCCACUAUAUUCUUCUCCUGGAGUCAGCCUGCAGUCAAUGGCUGACUAAUACUGUAUUUCAAAAUACCAACCCUCUUGACUCAGGGGUUAAUGUGGUGUUUGUUAUUGGGGGCAAAAAUAUUGCAUCUCCCAGAUCUUCAUAGUAAACUAUAGCCUUUAAUGCUAAAAUUAUCCUUGUCUUUCUUAUUCCUCUUGCUAUUUUUUCUGCAUCUGUUUGCUUUCUCUUUUAUAAUUGCAUUGGCUCAUGUGUCCUUAAACAUUUUUCUCUGGUUUGCUCAUUUUCUCACUUAAUUUAGUAUUCAAGUUCACCUUCUCAGGGAAGCUUGACGUUCUGGCAACACUUCUGAUCUUUUCUCCAGCUUUAUCUUUCUUCAUAGCACUUGCCGCUAUGUGAAUUGAUACUAAUUUUUUUUUUUUUUUUUUUUUUUUUUUACUAAUUUGUUGUCUCUCUCUUUCUUAGAAUGCAAACUUUGUGGAGGUAGGGAUUAUGUUUUCCUUCCACCCUAUCCCCAAUCCUCCGGCAAGCUCAUGGCACAGAGUAGGUACUCAUAAACAUUUGUGGAAUGAAGGAAAGGUACUUGUCUAAAGCAUAAGAUAUAAGCACCCUUUCAUGAAAGGCCAGAAAUAUGAGAAAGCAGAGUAAAGGGACUUAGAAUCCAAGACAGAACUAAUUAUAUAAUGUAAAUACUUGACAAGCAUCAGAGAAAGGAAGUCUGGGGCAUCUAGUCGUGUGAUGAGAGGAUGCCUGCCUUUGAAACUGAGCACGUCUGUGGGUCUUUGAAUCCUUUUCUCUGAACAGGUCGUAGUUGGGCAGAUGGCACAGCCAGCAUGCCUCCAUGACUUGCCAACCACAUUUCUCAUGGACCCCUUUGUUGGACCUGAAUGUGUUCAAAUAUUCGGGGCUUCUGUAGUCACCCUUUCAUUUAAUAUCCAAAUAAAAGAGCUUGAACCUUCAUAAGACAAAAUGUGGUAACACUUUGGAGACAUUCAAGUGUACUUUUGUGUUUAGAUUGGUGGGGAACUUGUCCUGCCAUAUCUUGCUAUGAAGUCUUGUGAGCAUUCGAAUUCUGUGUCACUCCACAAAUGAUAUUCCAGGAUCUUAUGGUCAGCCCUCUAUCUCAUGCUGCCUAACUGCAAGUAAGACAUCUCUUUUUCUUCAUCUUCUCAAAGAACCUCCAGAAUAUGAUCUUUGUGUGAUUUUUUACUGAAGAUUUGAGGGUGAAGGGAGUUCAUAUUUACAGGUGUUAUUACAACAAAGUUCAAGAAAUGCCCUCAUAUUAGGAAUCCUCUAUUGUUGUUCUAAUUAGUUCAUUGGCAAUUUCCCAAUACAGGACAUUUCUCAUGGGCUACGUCCCUACAUAGGCCUUAACUACUGUCACAUUGCAGGGAUAUGUUCAUUCUGGAUCAUUUUUCUUAUACCUGUGUCCCUUAUUCCAGACUCCUAAGUCUUAUCUUGAUACACCAGUGGACAACUACAAAAUGCCUAUUAUUCUUUUUUGCAGAGCAAUUUAAUUCUCUUUGUUAAUGCUUCUCCAUUACUGGCUAGCUUGAGAAAAAGGAGGGUUUACUCUUCUCAAAAAGAUCAAUCAAGCUAUUUUCUUUCUUUCUUUUUUUUUUUUUUUAAAAAAAGCAAAUCUCUCCCUAUGAAAAAUCAUUCUGAAUUUCCUUGUCAUCUGCUUAAGUCAUAGUUUUCUUUUAAAAUAAUUAUUUUCUGCCUGCCACAUUAUCAUAUUGUGUCAGAUUCUAGUCAAUUAUUGUAAACCUUAAAGCCAUUCAAGGAGAAUUUGCAUAGAUGUCUGCUUUGAUUUUCACCUGUAGCUUCUAGAAGCCAUACUGCAUUCCAUUUUCCCAGGGGGUGUGAUGAGACAUCACUAAUGCACCCAAAGUUCUUGAUAACAUUGGUCAAUGUGGUUUUACUACUUCUUGGGUUAAUUAUGGUAAUUAAUAGGCUUCCAGAAAGUCACAUAUUUCUUAGCGUGUUUUUUGUGCGUUGCCAUAGUCUCACCAUUUUUCAAAUCUACUCCAUAUCACCAUGUCCCUUCUGUCGUGGGUUAAAUUGUGUCCUGCAAAAAGAUAUGUUAAAAUCCUAACCUUAGAUGAUAUGGUUUGGCUGUGUCCCCACCCAAAUCUCAUCUUGAAUUGUAGUUCCCAUAAUCCCCACAUCUUGUGGGAGGGACCAGGUGGAGAAAAUUGAAAUGUGGGUGCAGUUUCCCCCAUUCUGUUCUCAUGAUAGUGAGUUCUCAUGAGAUCUAACGGUUUCAUAAGUGGCUUUUCCCCCUUUUGUUUCACUUCUCCUUGCUGCUGUCAUGUGAAAAAAGACGUGUUUGCUUCCCCUUCCACCAUGAUUGUAAGUUUCCUGAGGCCUCCCCAGUGAUGCAGAACUGUGAGUCAAUUAAACCACUUUCCUUUAUAAAUUACACGGUCUCGGGUAUUUCUUCCUAGCAGGAUGAGAACGGGCUAAUACACUAGGAGGUAUUGGUGAACAUGACCUUAUUUGGAAAUAGAGUCUUUGCAGGUUUAAUUGAAUAGGACUCUGAGAGAAGACAUUCAUGUGUAAAGCCACCCAGUUUGUGGUAAUUUGUUAUGGCAGCCCUAAGGGAACUAAUACUAACGUUGAUUUAUGUCUGACAUUUAUUCUUGAUUAGCUUUGCUUAUUUGAUUAAGGAUUUAAAAGAAAAAUGUUCAUUUUCACUUCCUUUUAAUACAGUGAUUUAUGCUUGUGUUUUGAAUUAUUUUCUUCUUAUUAUUCUAAGAGCCUUUCUGACUGUAUUCUCCUAACUUUUAAACCAUUGAGUAAUUAACACUGCAAUGAUGAACAGACACCAGUGACUGAACCUGACAAAGAUUUAUUUGCCACAAAUGAAAAGUCUACUGAGAUUGGCCAGCCUUCCUCCACAUCAGAUGAAAUUGCGUCAUCUGAAACACUGGCCAUCAUGUUUAUAUGCUGCCAAAGCACCACUGUCUACUAAGUUUUUGAGGAAACCAUAUUGCUAGAGAAACUGCAAGCCUGAGCAGCCUCCAAUUGUUGAAGACUUACAUCCAUCUUGGACCUCCAAACAUUCAUAAGCAGGAAGCAGGCCUCAAAAACUAUGGCCCCCAAAUGAGGGCUUGUUCCCCAACCCCCACUUUAGACAUGGAGAAGAAGAAUAAUGGACAAGGAGGCUCCUCCCAGAAGGAUCCAAGGACCCCUGAGGUUGGUGGACAAUGGACUUCCAGCACAGAUUGGAAUCAGAACACAAUCAAGGACACUGUCUCUCCAAUAGAAACUCUUCCUAUGUCUGCCCAGAGUAAUUCCUUAACUGUGAUGGACAAAGAGCUGUGGCAUCAUUGCUUUCCAUUUUUUGAAUGAAAGUUAUGGUGCAGUAAUCCUUUCCCUGCUCCAGCAGGUGAGGGGGUGGCAGAGAGGGGCCAAUAAUUUGUCAUUUUGUUCCUAGAUUGCCAGACCAAGAGGAGCUAUGUCUUGGUCUGCAAAAAAGAACCAGACAUUGCCACAAAUCCUGGGCUUGAGCUGAAUGCAGGGACUGGUGGGUUUCUCUGUUGUGUCCCUUGGAGAGGGAGUGAAGACUUCUUAUGCAGUGCCUCUCAACAUAUUCUAACCUUCCUGCCUGCUAGGCUUGCCAUGUGUUGUGUUCCAGACAGUAAAAUUUAAGCAGAAGUUCUGACUUUCUUACUGCUGGGCUAAGGUAGUUACGUACUAGUGUACUAGUGUGUCUCCCCACAAUGAACCUCCCACCUUCUUCCCACAAAGCCCAAGGGAUAAAAUUCAGGGCAAAUUAGAAUCCAAAAGAAGGAGCCACAAAGUGGAAGAAACCUGGAUGCCUGAGUCACUAUGUGGGGAAAACACCAACUAAAAAGCUUUAUGUGAUCCACAUUUGAUAUGAGUGAGAAAUAAAUUUUUGAUUGUUUUAGGCCAUUGAUAUUUUGAGAUUGCAACAACAGCUAGUAUAAGUUAGCCCAAUGCUUUAGGAAAACGUCUAUUUGUUUAUCUAAUCUAUGAAGAUCACUGACUCAUUACUCUGUUUUGUUUUCUUAAUGAACACAAUAUACCAUGUGGGUAAGAGAUAAGGGGAAGGGGUGGAGGGGGGAUUUGGAGCCAGAAGACAAGAAGUUCUCUCUUUGCCUAUUCAUGCGUAUUUAGUAAAUUAACAUUUCCAUGCUGGGUCAUGAUUAUUUUCCCUGACCCUGCCCAGAAGAAAGCAAUCUCCAACUGUAUACUCACUGGCAUUUUGCUUUCAGGGAUACCGUUUUGUAAUUGGGCUCGGUUCAGUCCUCAUGGUCUGAAGAGAAAAUGAUAUACCAUGCUUUAAUAAGAGAUGUUCUGUCUUUAGUGCAAGACCCAGCCCACUGUUUGUAAUAAACUCUGAAGUCUGUGCUUGACAAGUACUACUUACAUACAGAGCAUGUCGUGAAGUAUAACAGAGAAGAUGAAGCCUGGUAAAAUGACACAGUUUGCUUCUCUCUUCAACAAAGGAAACUCUGAUUCUGGUUUUAGAAGGGACCGGCACCUUCUCCUUUCCCUGCCAGAUUUUCCUUCUACCAAGACUGGGGUCCAACUGUGAGCCCUGUGCUUCAGGUCAGGAGAAAUUCAGUAUGUGAAAGCAUUUUGCAAUCCGUAAAGCUUAAAUAUGCAUGCACGUUGUGAGGCAAUAUGGUAUAAAGGAAAGCAGAGGUUUAGACGUCAGUCCCACUCAUUUUAAAUCCUGGGUCCACUGCCCUCUAGCUAGGUAAUUCUUGGAAUGUUUCUCAACUUCUCUGAUCUUCAGUUCCCUCCACUAUAAAAUAAGAUCUAUAAGACCUACUACUUAGGGUGGGAAUAAAAUCAAUAACAUGUGAAUACCUAGCUCAGUGUCUGGUACAUGUUGGUGCUCAAUAAAUGUGUAAUUCCUUCCUUUCCCUUUCCUACCCACAUGCUGUCCUCAGGGUAGAACACAUAGAUGAUUCUUUCUCGUGCCCUGCCUGCCUCAGUACAUUUCUGGAUGUACGGAUUGAGACUUCCUGACUUACGAUUGCAUAAACUCCACAGCAAGUAUCUUUGGCUGUGUUAGUGCAAAUCCCUUGAAUAAUGUCCCAGUUCUCCUCUACGGCAGACUCCGUUGGAUUAAGAAAGAAGGCAACAGAAUGGAAAGAGCAUUCAACUUGGUGUCAAGUCCUGGGUACAGAUCUCUUUUCCAGCCUGUGCACUGUUGGUUAAAUUAGAAAUCUCUCUAAACCCCAAUUUACUCAUAUGGAAAAUGUCAGUUAUAGCUUCCAUAAAAGAACUUCAUGACAUAAAAAAACCUAGCACAAAUAUAAGGUAUUUCAGUAUACUUCCAGUAUAUCUUUGCUUACUCUUAUUGUCCUAUGUGUUAAUCCUACUAAAAAGCCUUGUGUCCCAUGUGUCUUCUCCCACACCUACUGAGUUUGUAAGGCAAGGUAGGUGCUUUGGGCAGGCAUCCAUCCAUGGCAUCACUUCAUCUAUCUUUGCUCAUGUUCAAGAAUGGUUUGGUUUCUUUCAUGCGCGUCCGUGUGAAGAGACCACCAAACAGGCUUUGUGUGAGCAACAUGGCUGUUUAUUUCACCUGGGUGCAGGCGGGCUGAGUCCGAAAAGAGAGUCAGCGAAGGGAGAUGGGGCGGGGCCAUUUUAUAGGAUUUGGGAAGGUAAUGGAAAAUUACAGUCAAAGGGCGUUGUUCUCUGGU
rnacentral:lncRNA from 10 species